rnacentral:rRNA from 1 species
GACGAACGCUGGCGGCGUGCCUAAUACAUGCAAGUCGAGCGAGCUUGCCUAGAUGAAUUUGGUGCUUGCACCAGAUGAAACUAGAUACAAGCGAGCGGCGGACGGGUGAGUAACACGUGGGUAACCUGCCCAAGAGACUGGGAUAACACCUGGAAACAGAUGCUAAUACCGGAUAACAACACUAGACGCAUGUCUAGAGUUUAAAAGAUGGUUCUGCUAUCACUCUUGGAUGGACCUGCGGUGCAUUAGCUAGUUGGUAAGGCAACGGCUUACCAAGGCAAUGAUGCAUAGCCGAGUUGAGAGACUGAUCGGCCACAUUGGGACUGAGACACGGCCCAAACUCCUACGGGAGGCAGCAGUAGGGAAUCUUCCACAAUGGAUGCAAGUCUGAUGGAGCAACGCCGCGUGAGUGAAGAAGGGUUUCGGCUCGUAAAGCUCUGUUGGUAGUGAAGAAAGAUAGAGGUAGUAACUGGCCUUUAUUUGACGGUAAUUACUUAGAAAGUCACGGCUAACUACGUG